rnacentral:rRNA from 1 species
CGGCAACAGCUCAAAUUUGAAAUCUGGCUCUUUCAGGGUCCGAGUUGUAAUUUGUAGAGGGUGCUUUGGCGUCGGCCGUGGUCUAAGUUCCUUGGAACAGGACGUCACAGAGGGUGAGAACCCCGUACGUGGCUACUGGCCUUCGCCGUGUAAAGCCCCUUCGAC